CAUGCGGGGAAGGAUGAGAAGCUUCGACCAAGGUUCGACUCGAGCGCCAGCGAGAGAGCGUUGCCGCAGGCAACGACCCGAAGGGCGAAGCGCGCAGCGCUGAGUAAUCCUUCCCCCACCACCA
rnacentral:sRNA from 1 species